rnacentral:misc_RNA from 1 species
AAACAUUCCAACUUCUCUUGGUUGACGUAACCAUUUAUCUCUAUAACAUAUAAGUAUCUCAAAAAUCUCAUUUUCUUUUGAACAAUUUUUAAUUGCUUUAUAAAUCUGUGGAUUUCGAGGUUUUCUCCUGGAGGGUCAUACCUAGCCCUUUGCAGUAAAAUCAUCAGUACAUCAUUUAGAUUCUUUCCAACACAAUCCAUAUAUUUCGACAGAUCAGAAUCAUUCAACUCAUGGUUGUAACUUAAACUGAUUUUACCUUCAAAGAAUUCCAACAAAUGUAAUUCUAACCUUCUUAAAUUAAGGUUAGUUUUACAUUCAUCCGGAAUUCCAUCCAAUACCCA